CCCUUAGAUGUUCUGGGCCGCACGCGCGCUACACUGAUGAAUUCAACGAGCACUAACCUGUGCCGAAAGGUUCGGGUAAUCUUGUGAAAUUUCAUCGUGAUGGGGAUUGAUUAUUGCAAUUUUUAAUCAUAAACGAGGAAUGCCUAGUAAGCGUGAGUCAUCAGCUCACGUUGAUUACGUCCCUGCCCUUUGUACACACCGCCCGUCGCUCCUACCGAUGAGCGUUUUGGCGAAGACGGUUUGAGUAGCUGCGUAAUUUCGUGUUGUUGACUCCGGCAGUUUGAGCCUUCACGUUUAGAGGAAGGAGAAGUCGUAACA
rnacentral:rRNA from 1 species